rnacentral:rRNA from 1 species
AUACGGAGGGGGCAAGCGUUGUUCGGAAUUACUGGGCGUAAAGCGCGCGUAGGCGGGCUGGUUAGUUGGGGGUGAAAUCCCAGGGCUUAACCCUGGAACUGCCUCCAAUACUGCCAGUCUAGAGUUCGAGAGAGGUGAGUGGAAUUCCUAGUGUAGAGGUGAAAUUCGUAGAUAUUAGGAAGAACACCAGUGGUGAAGGCGGCUCACUGGCUCGAUACUGACGCUGAGGUGCGAAAGCGUGGGGAGCAAACAGGAUUAGAUACCCCGGUAGUCC